rnacentral:rRNA from 1 species
AGUGAACGCUGGCGGUAGGCCUAAUACAUGCAAGUCGAACGGCAGCACAGUAAGAGCUUGCUCUUACGGGUGGCGAGUGGCGGACGGGUGAGGAAUACAUCGGAAUCUACUUUUUCGUGGGGGAUAACGUAGGGAAACUUACGCUAAUACCGCAUACGACCUACGGGUGAAAGCAGGGGAUCUUCGGACCUUGCGCGAUUGAAUGAGCCGAUGUCGGAUUAGCUAGUUGGCGGGGUAAAGGCCCACCAAGGCGACGAUCCGUAGCUGGUCUGAGAGGAUGAUCAGACACACUGGAACUGAGACACGGUCCCGACUCCUACGGUAGGCGGCAGUGGGGAAUAUUGGACAAUGGGCGCAAGCCUGAUCCAGCCAUACCGCGUGGGUGAAGAAGGCCUUCGGGUUGUAAAGCCCUUUUGUUGGGAAAGAAAAGCAGCAGGUUAAUACCCCGCUGUUCUGACGGUACCCAAAGAAUAAGCACCGGCUAACUUCGUG